UACACACCAUCCUAUAUAACUACUGUCUAUAAACACCACCCUAUAUAACUACUGUCUAUACACACCAUCCUAUAUAACUACUGUCUAUACACCAUCCUAUAUAACUACGGUCUAUACACAUAUCCUGUAUAACUACUGUC
rnacentral:lncRNA from 1 species